UACGUAGGGUGCAAGCGUUAAUCGGAAUUACUGGGCGUAAAGCGUGCGCAGGCGGUGAUGUAAGACAGUUGUGAAAUCCCCGGGCUCAACCUGGGAACUGCAUCUGUGACUGCACGGCUAGAGUGUGUCAGAGGGGGGUAGAAUUCCACGUGUAGCAGUGAAAUGCGUAGAUAUGUGGAGGAAUACCGAUGGCGAAGGCAGCCCCCUGGGAUAACACUGACGCUCAUGCACGAAAGCGUGGGGAGCAAACAGG
rnacentral:rRNA from 1 species